rnacentral:tRNA from 1 species
GGACCCUUAGCUCAGUUGGUAGAGCAGUCGGCUCAUAACCGAUCGGUCACAGGUUCGAGUCCUGUAGGCUCCACCA